GAUGAACGCUGGCGGCGUGCCUAAUACAUGCAAGUCGAGCGAACAGACGAUGAGCUUUCUCCUCUGCCGUUAGCGGCUGACGGGUGAGUAACACGUGGAUAACCUUCUUCUUUUUCUUGGAUAAUUUCGUGAAACCGGUUCUAAUACCAGAUCAUAUAUUCUACCGCAUGGAUCAGUAGAUAUUGACGGCUUUGCUGUUACUUUUAGAUGGUUUCGUGUUGGAUUAGCUAGUUGGUAAGGUAACGGCUUACCAAGGCGACGAUGCGUAGCUGACCUGAGAGGAUGAUCAGCCACACUGGAACUGAGACACGGUCCAGACUCCUACGGGAGGCAGCAGUAGGGAAUAUUCCACAAUGGGCGAAAGCCUGACCCAGCAACACCGCGUGAGUGAUGAAGGUCUUCGGAUCGUAAAACUCUUUUAUUAGGAAAGAACAAAAGUAUAAUUAACUAUCCACGUCUUGACGGUACCUAAACAAAAAGCAACGGCUAACUACGUG
rnacentral:rRNA from 1 species